CUUGUAUGGGAAGUGUCAAGGUCAGCCGUCCAGUCAAAGUCAGGCGGCAGGGAAGAUCUGGUGGGCAGAGGGAAAUACAAGCACAAGAUUCCAGAAACCACCUUGGCAUGCCUGAUACAUAGGAAGAGCUACUGAUGCAUGGCUGGCUCCGGGUGGGGUCGCUGUUCUGCCCUCCAUGAACCCAUAAAGGAAGGGGGCCUUCUAGGCCCCGCCCUCGAGUAACUAGGCACUUAUGAUUUGGUCAAGACUCAUGUCCACUCACAGCGGCAAUGGAAAACUGGUGCAGGAGGAAGCCUCAGCAAUGAUUUAGCACAAACAAACAGAACAGAGAGGCUACAUGGUUUUCCCAAGGCCACACAGCAAGUCCAUUCCAGGGCUCAGACCAACUGGCAGCUGAGCCCCCAAAGUCCACACUGUGUGGACUGGCUUCUGUAGUUUUCUCCUGGAAAAAAAAUAAAACAACUACAAAUAAAAUCUCAAUAAGGUCUGCAUUAAAUAUCUGGCUUUGCUUUAUGCCCCUCCCUGGUAUACCC
rnacentral:lncRNA from 1 species